rnacentral:rRNA from 1 species
ACGGGAGGCAGCAGUGGGGAAUAUUGCACAAUGGGGGAAACCCUGAUGCAGCAACGCCGCGUGAGUGAUGACGGUCUUCGGAUUGUAAAGCUCUGUUUUCAGGGACGAUAAUGACGGUACCUGAGGAGGAAGCCACGGCUAACUACGUGCCAGCAGCCGCGGUAAUACGUAGGUGGCAAGCGUUGUCCGGAUUUACUGGGCGUAAAGGGAGCGUAGGCGGAUCUUUAAGUGGGAUGUGAAAUACCCGGGCUCAACCUGGGUGCUGCAUUCCAAACUGGAGAUCUAGAGUGCAGGAGGGGAAAGUGGAAUUCCUAGUGUAGCGGCGAAAUGCGUAGAGAUUAGGAAGAACACCAGUGGCGAAGGCGACUUUCUGGACUGUAACUGACGCUGAGGCUCGAAAGCGUGGGGAGCAAACAGGAUUAGAUACCCUGGUA